AUAUAUAAAUGGCUAUGAGGAUGGUUUUAGUACGUAGGCGUUGCGGAACUUCGGUUCGGAUUGAGCAAUGAAUUGUGCUCAAUAGGAAAAAUGACCACACGCAGGGUGGGCAGCCCUAGUUUCUUUUGAUAGAUUUCCAUACCUCCGCGAUCAAAAAAAAAAAAAAAAAAAAAAUAGCCAAAUGCCUCGUCAUCUAAUUAGUGAUGCGCAUGAAUGGAUUAACGAGAUUCUUACUGUCCCUAUCUACUAUCUAGCGAAACCACAGCCAAGGGAACGGGCUUGGAAUAAUUAGCGGGGAAAGAAGACCCUUUUGAGCUUGACUCUAAUCUGGCAGUGUAAGGAGACAUAAGAGGUGUAGAAUAAGUGGGAGAUAUUAGACCUCGGUUUGGUAUUGUCAAUGAAAUACCACUACUCUUAUUGUUUCCUUACU
rnacentral:ncRNA from 1 species